CUGCGCCCCUCCUGCCCAUGUGCUCCACAUCGACCAUCGGAAGCAAGGGGGGUUUCUGUUUUAACUUCUUUCCUCCCCCCAUAACAAAGGCAGCACUCUGGAGGCUCUUUCUCUGAUUGGACGUCUAGGAAACUGGGAUUCCUCCAAGUUAAUAUCCUUUUGCCGGGCUGAAUGCCGGAAAGACGAGGAGGGAGCAAGAUGAAAACAAAACAUCCCCAAACUGGGUCCAUUAGAGGACGUGCCUCUCCGGAGUGAGAGAGAAUGAACAGAAGUGGUUUAAACAAACAAACAAGCCCCAAACCUCGAGCCUGGAAGGCCUCCAGAGUCAUCCAAGUCCAGUGGCAAGACAAAAGCCAAUAUGACUGGCAAGGGCUGAAGAUGCCGAAGAUGGAGAUAACCUUGGCUCCUUUGGUUUCUAAGCUCUAAGAGCUCCAUAGUCCCUACUUCGACGUCUUCAUGGCUGUUGUAACAAAUUAUUCUCACCAGCCUGUUCCACUGGGAGAAGUCUUCAUAUGCCUGGGAUAAUCAUUUCCCCAACUCACCUAUGGGUUUGUGGCCCAUUGAUUUCCUUCAAUCUGGUUUAGCCCAUCUGCUGAGCCAGGUUUAUUAGAGUGUGGUCACCCUGCAUGCUACAGCUUCUUGGAGUCACAGGUAAGAGAUGGGUGAAAGGUAGACACCAAAGUUGGAUGAGCAGUCUUGAAAAGGGCUCAACAAGCCCUCUAGAUGCUAGUCUUCCUCAAAUACCUAUACACCCCACAUAGAUAAGAUUCAUGCAAAGUAGAUAUAAAGCAACCUUAGAAGGGUAAAUACUAGCAGUUAGAAGGUCUGGUACAGAAGGUGGCUUGAGGUGAGUCUUGAAGGAAGUCAGGUAUUUUAAGAGGCAGAAAUGAAAAGGGAAACCAUUCCAAGCAUGGUUAAUUUUCAGGAGCCCAGAGAUGGUAGAUGAGGCAUUAAGUAUGGGAUAUGGCAAAUUGAGCAAUAUGGUCAGACUAUCAGCUACAGGGAAGUGAUGUGUAAGAAGGGAAAUGUAGGCAGGACCAGGUUGUAAGGAGGUUUAAAUGCCAAAGAAAGGCA
rnacentral:lncRNA from 1 species